rnacentral:rRNA from 1 species
CGCGUAGGCAGGUAUUUAAGUCGAUUGUGAAAUCCCUGGGCUUAACCUAGGAAUUGCAUUCGAUACUGAAUGUCUUGAGUAUGGUAGAGGAAAGUGGAAUUCUCGGUGUAGUGGUAAAAUACGUAGAUAUCGAGAAGAACACCGGUGGCGAAGGCGACUUUCUGGACCAAUACUGACGCUGAGGCGCGAAAGCGUGGGGAGCAAACAGGAUUAGAUACCCUGGUAGUCCACGCUGUAAACGAUGAGAACUAGAUGUUGGGUGGCACCUUUGCCACACAGUAUCGUAGCUAACGCAUUAAGUUCUCCGCCUGGGGAGUACGAUCGCAAGAUUAAA